rnacentral:rRNA from 1 species
UACGUAGGGGGCUAGCGUUGUCCGGAUUUAUUGGGCGUAAAGAGCGUGUAGGCGGCCAGGUAGGUCCGUUGUGAAAACUCGAGGCUCAACCUCGAGACGUCGGCGGAAACCCUCUGGCUAGAGUCCGGAAGAGGAGAGUGGAAUUCCUGGUGUAGCGGUGAAAUGCGCAGAUAUCGGGAAGAACACCCGUGGCGAAGGCGGCUCUCUGGGACGGUACUGACGCUGAGACGCGAAAGCGUGGGGAGCGAACAGG